GACGAACGCUGGCGGCGUGCUUAACACAUGCGAGUCGAACGAAGAGCGAUGGAAGCUUGCUUCUAUCAAUCUUAGUGGCGAACGGGUGAGUAACGCGUAAUCAACCUGCCCUUCAGAGGGGGACAACAGUUGGAAACGACUGCUAAUACCGCAUACGAUCUAAUCUCGGCAUCGAGGAUAGAUGAAAGGUGGCCUCUACAUGUAAGCCAUCACUGAAGGAGGGGAUUGCGUCUGAUUAGCUAGUUGGAGGGGUAACGGCCCACCAAGGCGAGGAUCAGUAGCCGGUCUGAGAGGAUGAACGGCCACAUUGGGACUGAGACACGGCCCAGACGCCUACGGGAGGCAGCAGUGGGGAAUCUUCCGCAAUGGACGAAAGUCUGACGGAGCAACGCCGCGUGAGCGAGGACGGCCGUCGGGUUGUAAAGCUCUGUUAAUCGGGACGAAAGGCCUUCUUGCGAAUAGUGAGAAGGAUUGACGGUACCGGAAUAGAAAGCCACGGCUAACUACGUG
rnacentral:rRNA from 1 species